rnacentral:misc_RNA from 1 species
GUAAAAUGUACUUUUUUUAUAUAACAAUAAUAGUAAUCAUCUCAAAUAUUAUUGGAUACAUCAAUAUUAAAUAUAAAAAAAUAGGAAAUUGAAUUUAUCUUAGCCUAUAUAAAUAUUAUUGAAUUUGCAAGGAUAUUAGUUUCAUUUGAUAUUAGCUAUAACAACAAAAUCCUAAUGAUCAUAUUCACGUGCAACUACUCUUGUAAGAAUGAUACUUGUGACAUACAAAAACUCAAAAAAAUUAAAGGCUUAUAAAUAGAUUUUGCCCGUUGAAGAAAAAAAGAUACACAAAAUUAGUGAAGAAAGAAAAAAAAUCACAUUAUAUGUCAAAGUUAAUUAAACUUGAGUCCUAAUGCAUGAAAAUAGAGCAUUUAAUUGUAAAACUAUUCGUUACUAAUUUUUUUUUAAAUAGCUAAAAAUUU